rnacentral:rRNA from 1 species
AUACGGCUCAGUAACGCGUACUCCACUUAACCUAUGGACGGGAAUAACCUCGGGAAACUGAGAAUCAUGCCCGAUAGAACAUUAUGCCUGGAAUGGUUUAUGUUCCAAAUGAUUUAUCGCCGUAGGAUGGGACUGCGGCCUAUCAGUUUGUUGGUGAGGUAAUGGCCCACCAAGACUAUUACAGGUACGGGCUCUGAGAGGAGUAGCCCGGAGAUGGGUACUGAGACACGGACCCAGGCCCUAUGGGGCGCAGCAGGCGAGAAAACUUUGCAAUGUGCGAAAGCACGACAAGGUUAAUCCGAGUGGUUUCUGCUAAAGAAACCUUUUGUCAGUCCUAGAAACACUGAUGAAUAAGGGGUGGGCAAGUUCUGGUGUCAGCCGCCGCGGUAAAACCAGCACCUCAAGUGGUCAGGAUGAUUAUUGGGCCUAAAGCAUCCGUAGCCGGCUCUGUAAGUUUUCGGUUAAAUCUGUACGCUCAACGUACAGGCUGCCGGGAAUACUGCAGAGCUAGGGAGUGGGAGAGGUAGACGGUACUCGGGAGGAAGGGGUA